CACGUAGGGCGCAAGCGUUGUCCGGAAUUAUUGGGCGUAAAGAGCUCGUAGGCGGUCCGUCACGUCCGCUGUGAAAACCCAGGGCUCAACCCUGGGCUUGCAGUGGAUACGGGCAGACUAGAGGUAGGUAGGGGAGAAUGGAAUUCCCGGUGUAGCGGUGAAAUGCGCAGAUAUCGGGAGGAACACCGGUGGCGAAGGCGGUUCUCUGGGCCUUACCUGACGCUGAGGAGCGAAAGCGUGGGGAGAGAACAGG
rnacentral:rRNA from 1 species